CAAAGAGACAGCCUCUCAAGCCAAGUUCCUGUCCAUGGUCAAAGAGACGACCUCUCAAGCCAAGAUCCUGUCUGAGGUCCAAGAAACGGCCUCCCAAGCCACGUUCACAUACGAGGUUAAAGAGGCGGCCUCCCAAGCCAAAUUCCUGUCCGAAGUCGAAGAGAUGGCCUCCCAAGUCAAGUUUCUGUCCGAGGUCGAAGAGACAGCCUCCCAAGCCAAGUUUCUGACCUGCCGUAAAAAAUUUUGUUUGUGCUGCUACGGUUCUGAAGAAAUUAAAAGAAUAUUUAUAGGUCAUUCUGGGGUCACUCAGCCACCCCACACACUCCAAAUUCAC
ensembl:lncRNA